rnacentral:rRNA from 1 species
GGCUCAGGACGAACGCUGGCGGCGUGCCUAAUACAUGCAAGUCGAACGAACUGUGGAAAGCUUGCUUUCAGAGUUAGUGGCGAACGGGUGAGUAACACGUAAGUAACCUAGCUAUUAGACGAGGAUAACUACUGGAAACGGUAGCUAAGACUGGAUAUGAUAGAAAUAUUUAAAGGAUGCUAAGGCAUCGCUAAUAGAGGGGCUUGCGGCGCAUUAGCUAGUUGGUAGGGUAAAAGCCAACCAAGGCGAUGAUGCGUAGCCGACCUGAGAGGGUGACCGGCCACACUGGGACUGAGACACGGCCCAGACUCCUACGGGAGGCAGCAGUAGGGAAUCUUCGGCAAUGGACGGAAGUCUGACCGAGCAACGCCGCGUGAGUGAAGAAAGUUUUCGGAUUGUAAAGCUCUGUUAUUAGGGAAGAAAGGCUCUAGGAGGAAAUGCUUAGAGAUUGACGGUACCUAAUGAGGAAGCCACGGCUAACUACGUGCCAGCCGCCGC